rnacentral:lncRNA from 1 species
AUGUCAAAUUUUAAUUGUUACAAGCCCUAUAGUGAAGUGAGUUACCCACUAUUAUGUAAAUUGGAUAUAUUGGGAUUUGUAUAAAGCACUCUUAUAAAUAAAAUCAAAACAUGUUACUUAGCUAUUAAAACACGUAGAAGAAAAAGAAGAGAAACAAAAGAAAAAUAUGCUUUGGUCAGUGACGAGAAAAUCAGCCGUUAGUUUCAAUUCAUUCUAGAUUUUAACAGAUUUAGAGACUAAGACGAAGACGGCUAAUGACAUCGAACGGUGAGGAGCUCGACAUUUUAGAAGUGCCACUUCAUUAUAAUAGAUUGAUAGUUUGAGAAUUAGUGGACAAAAUGCCUACAUAGUACUCCGAUUUUGGUAGUAGUUACUAAAUGCCCAUCUUUGAGUAUUUUAAUCGGUUAUGAACUUUUUGGAUGUAUAAUAAUUAUUUCAGAAUUU